UUAAACCCGUUUACGAGUAUCAAUUGGAGGGCAAGUCUGGUGCCAGCAGCCGCGGUAAUUCCAGCUCCAAUAGCGUAUAUUAAAAUUGUUGCAGUUAAAAAGCUCGUAGUUGGAUUUUUGCUGACUACUGUAGUGCGGCUCUUCUGAGCUUGCAGUAUUAGUUUGUUGGCUUUCUCUAUUGUUGGCCAGGUUCUGACUUCCAAUAGAGCUGUUACUUUGAGAAAAUUAGAGUGUUUCAAGCAGGCUUCUGCCUUGAAUACUUCAGCAUGGAAUAACAAGAAUGACUCCUGUCCUUCUUGUUGGUUUAAGGAUUUGAGUAAUGGUUAAGAGGAACAGUUGGGGGCAUUCGUAUUUAA
rnacentral:rRNA from 1 species